UAUCGACUGUCGCCACUGCACCCUGCAUCAUUUGCUUACCGCUAUCAGAGCUUCAAGCCAAAUUAUACACAAAAUGUCUCGCACAAGCUUAAUACUUCUUCUUGUUUGUUUCGUGUGCGUCGCCGAGAUUUCAAAUGCGUACUUCGUCAAAGAAAGCAGUAGCAGUGUAGUUCGUCAAUCAUGUGCUAUGUUUGGAUCAACUUGUAAGAGCGAUGGAGACUGCUGCAAUGAAUCGUGUGUCCCAAUACUGAAGAGAUGUGUUAAAUUCUAGUUGGCCCAAAAGACGUUUCUGUCUGAACUGUCAAAUCCAAGAACUGUCGCAUACCCGAAGUUGAAAAAGACAAUUUUAUGCGCCAUUUUCUUAAAUUAUCAUUACGUAAGAACCUUUUACAAAGUAUUAGAUUUAAAAAAAAAAAGAUAA